GGGGAUAUAGCUCAGUGGUGGAGUGCUUGACUAGUAUGUAUGAAGCCCUGGGUUCAAUCCCCAGUUCUA
rnacentral:tRNA from 1 species